rnacentral:rRNA from 1 species
CAGUCGCCGCGGUAAUACGGAGGGUGCAAGCGUUAAUCGGAAUUACUGGGCGUAAAGCGUGCGUAGGCGGUUCGUUAAGUCUGUUGUGAAAGCCCCGGGCUCAACCUGGGAAUGGCAAUGGAUACUGGCGAGCUAGAGUGAGUCAGAGGAUGGUGGAAUUCCCGGUGUAGCAGUGAAAUGCGUAGAGAUCGGAAGGAACAUCUGUGGCGAAGGCGACUAUCUGGGCCAACACUGACACUGAGGCACGAAAGCGUGGGGAGCAGACAGGAUUAGAGACCCGCGUAGUCCCUGUCUCUUAUAC